rnacentral:rRNA from 1 species
AUACGUAGGGGGCGAGCGUUGUCCGGAAUUACUGGGCGUAAAGGGUGCGUAGGUGGCACUUUAAGUUGGAUGUGAAAUCCCCGUGCUUAACAUGGGAGCUGCAUCCAAUACUGGAGAGCUAGAGUGCAGGAGAGGUAAGCGGAAUUCCUAGUGUAGCGGUGAAAUGCGUAGAUAUUAGGAGGAACACCAGUGGCGAAGGCGGCUUGCUGGACUGUAACUGACACUGAGGCACGAAAGCGUGGGGAGCAUACAGGAUUAGAUACCCUGGUAGUCCACGCUGUAAACGAUGAAUACUAGGUGUAGGGGGUAUCAACUCCCUCUGUGCCGCAGCAAACGCAAUAAGUAUUCCGCCUGGGGAGUACGGCCGCAAGGUUGAAACUUAAAGGAAUUGACGGGG